rnacentral:rRNA from 1 species
GUAGGGAAUAUUGCGCAAUGGACGAAAGUCUGACGCAGCGACGCCGCGUGAGUGAUGAAGGCCUUAGGGUCGUAAAGCUCUGUUGAAUGGGAAGAAAAAAAUGACGGUACCAUUCGAGGAAGGACCGGCUAACUUCGUGCCAGCAGCCGCGGUAAUACGAGGGGUCCUAGCGUUGUUCGGAAUCAUUGGGCGUAAAGGGUGUGUAGGUGGCCAUGUAAGUCAGGUGUGAAAGCCCCGGGCUCAACCCGGGAAGUUCACUUGAUACUGCGUGGCUUGAGUACCGAAGAGGGUAGUGGAAUUCCAGGUGUAGUGGUGAAAUACGUAGAUAUCUGGAGGAACACCGGUGGCGAAGGCGGCUACCUGGUCGAGUACUGACACUGAGACACGAAAGCAUGGGGAUCAAACAGGAUUAGAUACCCGGGUAGUCC